GGAAACCGAGGAUGAGGAAGAGGAGGCAGACAGAGGGGUUCUUGAAGGGUGCUGGAGUUCACAGAAGGAAUUCUUGGGUUCUUGAGAUGGGAAGGGGCAGGGAGAAAAGGAGAGAGCAGGAAGUGGCGCCUGCACCAGGUUUGGGUCCUUAGGGCCUUGGGAUCCUGGCAUUUCCCUUUUGAGGGACCUGCCAGCGGAGCGGGCCCUCAGCUCGCGCUGAUAAUGAAUGAAACAAAUGGGACAAAGGAGGGGGCGCACGCGGCGCGGGACUCGAGUAGGGCGCCAGGCUCGGCUCUAGCCCCAAGGAGGAGGGGUCCUGCCCACUCGGCGACCUCACCUUCUCCCUGCCCUGGGCCAGGAAGCUGUCCUCCGUGCCCCUCCGUACCCUAGCUGCCUCCCCAGCUGCCCGCCGCCGAUUGGACGCUCUUUGGGGCGCUGAAGCAGAGGGACCCGGCCGAGCGUGCGGGAGGCUGCCGGGCGGGGCGCGAGUUCCAGCCUCCGGGACCGAGGGCGGGUGCGUCCCGCGCCGCAAAUGUCCGCGAAGAUGAGGAAGACCACGAGCAGCGUGAGCGCAGCCAGCAUCCAGCUCCGGAACUGCAGCUGCAUGGUGGGUUCGCGCCCGCCGGGAGCCGCGCGGGCCGGCUCGAGGAGCUGGCUGGAGGGCGCAGCGGCAGGCGCCGGAGCCUCCGCGCGCGGCGCGCAGCGGGGCAGACACUCGGCGCUCCGGCUGCUGACCUCAAGAGUGGUGACCCCCACCCAGAGUGGAAUUCCUGAAAACCCCAAAACCGUAUGUCUCAUUUACACAUCGCCAAACCUCUCUGCGCCUCUCCCCCCAGAUGUGGACAGUUUUCAUCUGAACUACUUCUUGGGGGUAAAAAAGACUCCUCUUGGCAAUCCAAACUUUUUACACAGCAUGAGCAACCUCCAGCACGAUACUGGUCACCAGUGGCAACAGGAAGUUGGCACAGUCCCAAUGAAUUGGUGAGCAUACCUGGCGAAAUACCAUUUCUAAAGGAAACUCCAGAUGGGAGAGUCUUCGGAGCCGUGGCGGCUUUUGACGGACUGUGGACCUGCUAGGAUCUUGGCGCAGCACACUGGCCAGAGGAGAGUGCACUGGGCCCCAAGGCAGAGGACCCGCGGGGAUCCGGGACUGUAACGCACGGCAAGCCAUGGUGAGAGCCAGACCCCUCCCGCGAAGCAGGAAUUACCCUUCCAAGGUGGCUGCAGCCAUUUGAACGGAUAAACUCCUAAGUAUCAAUAAUAUUGACGAUUCAUCAUAAUUUGCUAGAUAAUAGAAAACCGUUUUAUAGUCUCGCUUUCGGAAGCCAGUCAAGAGAAGGUUUCCGUAGGGAGUGGUUAACCGCUCAAAGUGAUCCUUGUCCGCUGACAAAACACAAUAGAAAAGGUAUUUUGAGAGAAGGCAUGGAGAGGACUAUAGUUUUGAUGUUUGUAAAAUAGUCUCCACAGAAUCAAUCCUUCCUGUGCGUUCAUACAACUUGGGAGUUUAUGGGCCAUUCCACAAAAGGAGGAAUUUCUCUCUCUCUCUCUCUCUCUCUCUCUCUCUCUCUCUCUCUCCCCCUCCCCCCCGCCCGUCAUUUGAUUUCUUGCAUGGGGUCAAUCCCGGGUGUAUUCACGCUCACCCACGUGGUGUGGGGUUUUCCUGGCUUUUGUUGUCCUACUGCAAUAGCGAAGAGGGGCCACCAGGUGGCACUGUGCUAGACGAGGGUCUCCAAAAUGAAGUGGCGCUGCAGGACUGAGGCUGGGCCAGGUAGAUUCUGGGCCAGGGAGGGGUCAAAAGAGAAAUCGAGAGAAUGCGAACAGAGACAGGACACAACCACCCAGAGGACAAAAAUCUUGCAUGUUGCUUACUGACCUGUGUUAGACCCACGGAAGCCAGUUUCCAUCAGCCAGUUUCAAGCAUGUAACUGGAAUCGAGAUAAGAAGUGGACACACUAUCUCGGGAAAACAGUAUUCUAAGCAAACGAAAUGGGAGAUGAACGUGAAUCACCAGGAACUGGUUGGAUGAUCCCAGUUAUCUCUACAGACGGCUCCUUUUCUUAACGCCCCUUCUGGCCUUGGUGAAGAGAUAAAUUUGAGCAGUUCUUCAGAUAAUCAAUAAUGGAAAUCAAUGAUACAUGGACACAUCGCACUCUUAGCGAAAAUCAAUAAUCGAUCAGCACCCUGCACUGUCCCUGAUUGGGGCACAAGUACAGUAGAUGGGCGUUUCUAGCUGUUUAAAUUGGAGAGUAAGAAAAUAUGAAAUGUUUCCACUUUCCCAGUCAUCCUGACAUAUUCAUUAGAACAAGAAUCAGCCUUUCUCUCGAUGCCCCUCCCCCUCCCCCCAGGCAGGUGUAUAAAACAGCAAAUCCGCUUCCUUGGGGAUGGAAGAAGAAGGUGAGGUUAGUACAGCAUGGGUGUCCUCACAGCUCACGCACCGGCCGUGAGGCGCUAUUCAGUAUCUUUCCUUUAGGAGCCCAGCCCUGGACCCAGUGCCCUGUUAGGAAGAAAUAGAUGCCAGACCUUUCCCCCCCAGAGUCUUUGCAAAAGAUCCCUGAUUCACGGGGUGAAGCUUGUCACAUGUUGCACAGAUAGAGCUGCACCCAACCCCUCAUUAACUUAAUGGAUUCGUAUAGUCAGUCCCCCAGGGAUGCGGAAUUGAAGCGACUGCGAUUCACGGCAAGUGUGGGAGUAUUUAUAAGUGCGUCUCCCACUGCUCCCAGGUUCUGAAAGCGGGUGAGCUCUGCUCCUGCAGCAGAUAAGGAGGAAGUGAACACUGUAUCCAAAAGCUGUCAUCGUGUGUUUAUUUAUGCUUUUUAUGACACCUAGUUUUGCUUCCCAAGCUUAUUAAUUUUUGUGCACGUUAUCUAUCUUGCAGUCCCUACUGGCCCAUUUUGUAUGAGAUUUUUUGUUUUUUUGGGUUUUGUUUUUGUUUUUGUUUUUGUUUUUGUUUUUGUAGUAACGAUAUAUUGCUUUUGGGUCACCUGUAUGAAGCAAUCGGCUUUGCUUAGGCAAUGCUUUUUUCCCCAUGUUUAGAGGUAAUAACUGUUCUCCACCAACUUUCUCUCAAGUGUAAAUCAUGGAUCAUAAACUCAUAGCCCAAGUUUAAUCGGAGCUUCCCAAAUAUUUUCUUAGACAAGUGAAGUGUUUAAAAAUGUUUUUGAGUCUGGAAACCUUUAGGGGACUACUGACUUCCCAGCUCUCAACAGGCUCCCCCACUCAUUGUAUUAUAUCAAGUCUGAUUCAUACAUUGUCAUCUCGGCCUAGCUCCAAGGGCAUCUGGGAGCUGAAUCAACAUGAAACCGACAGUAUUGGGAAAAUGAACGCAGAAUGUGCAUGCUUCACUGACGAUGGGUCAGCACUUUCUCAUAUAGUAGAUUUUAAAUAAAUGCGGAGAAUCCCAUAUACUGUUCGCAGGAGGGUAAAUUGGAACAACUUCUCAGGAGGUUAAUUUAGCGAUAUAUGGAAGCUUUGUUAUAGGAGACACUUUUUCUGUAAGGUGAAUUGAUGGCCUGUGAGAAAAGAAGUAUGCAGACCCUCGGGAGGCUGGCCCCUCCCACGCAGCUGGCAUGCCCUGGGAACAGGUAGCGGUAUGAGUUAUAGAGACGAAUGGAGGCCUCUCGUUAGCCAGAUGAGUCCAUUAAUUGGAGUUGGAAACAUCUCAUAACAUAAAAGAAGUCUUCAAAAAGAACAUGCCCUCAACCCGAUAAUUCCACCCAUCUUUAGAAACUGUUCCCUAACGAAAUACAUAAAUGAAGGUGGACAUGUCUAGAUACAAAGAUGUUUAUAACAAUGUCAUUUAUGGUAAUGAAAUAUUGAGAACAACGUAAAGGCAGUAGGCCUUCAUGAACAAAUCACGUGACAGCUAUUCAGUGGAGUAUUAUGUGGUCAUUAACAAUCAUAACUUGGUGAUAUUUAUGGAUAUCGAAGUUGGUUUGCGUUUUAGGAAGUUGAAGAUUAUAGAACAAUAUGAUCCCACUUUUGUAAACAUGAACAUGUGCAUAUUUGCAUGGUGUGGUGGGCAUCCUCCAAGAUGGCGCCCAGCAAUGUCUGCCUCCUGAUAUUCUCAGUCUUGUAUAACCCUCAUCCUGUGAGCAACUUGUUUCUAACCAACAGAAUCCAGCAACAUCGAAGGGAUGUCAAUUCCAUGAUUAGGUUACAAAAGAUUGUGACUUUUGUCUUGCUUUUGGGCUCUGUUGCUUUUUGGCUUGCUCACAUUGAUGAAGACAACAACUAUGUCAGAAAGACCCACCUGGCGGGGAAUGGAAGGUUAUCCCUAGCUAACAGCCAAUGGGGAACUGAGGUCCUCAGUCCAAUAGCCUGUAGGGAACUGAAUCUUGCCAACAACCAUCGAACAAGUUUCUCCCAUUGAGUCUCUAGGUGAGACCCCAUUCUGGACAACAUUUUGAUGCACCUUUGGGAGACUCUAAGAAAGAGGAUCCCACUAAGCUGUGUAGCUGUGCCUAGAUUCCUGACCCACAGAAACUGCGAGAUAAUAAAUGUGUGUUG